ACUGGUAGUGUACAUUACUUCAAAACUAGAGAAAGUAAUUUUUUUCGCUAUAUGUUUAUAUAGUGAUAAUAUUUUAUUUCAUUCACAGAAUACGUACAAAACCUAGUGGAUUUGUUGUUCAGCAGUGUCGUGGGAAUCCCCCUACCAUAUCAGGGGCUGUUACAGAAGGCUGAGGCAGUGGCCAGACACCAGCCUCACUUCAAAGUAAUGAGGACACUUGAAUCAGGAUGGACACAUUUUGAUCUGGAGGUGCCCCCUUCCACGGUGCCAAUGGACUACUGCUGAGCCCGAGAGCUGGAUCGGAAAUAGGAGCCGAAGUCGAGCUCCUUCAUGACCAGUAUCUGAGGGUCCUGGAGCUGAUCUACGCUGCCAUUCCCAUCAGACAUUGGCAAACACCUCAGAAGGAACAAAAGAUGGGCUGAAGAGAUGCUUUUGAAAUGGAGUCCUCUGACUGAAAGAUGACUCCUGUGUAUUCUUCAAACAUGUCAGGGAACUCCUAUCUUAUACAGGACACCAUACAGCAAAGUAAAAUAUUUGCACAUUGUUAUAUUAGCAGAACACAGUAUUAUGUGAAGUAUGGUUU